UACGUAGGGGGCAAGCGUUGUCCGGAAUUAUUGGGCGUAAAGAGCUCGUAGGCGGCUUAGUAAGUCGGCGGUGAAAUACCGAGGCUCAACCUCGGCACUGCCGUCGAUACUGCUAUGGCUAGAGUUUGGUAGAGGAGAACGGAAUUCCCGGUGUAGUGGUGGAAUGCGCAGAUAUCAGGAGGAACACCUAUUGCGAAGGCAGCUCGCUGGGACGUAACUGACGCUGAGACGCGAAAGCGUGGGGAGCAAACAGG
rnacentral:rRNA from 1 species